rnacentral:rRNA from 1 species
GGGCUGCAGUAUAUUGACUGUACAAAGGUAGCAUAAUCAUUAGUCAUUUAAUUGAUGACUUGUAUGAAGGAUUGGAUGAAAUAUAAACUGUCUCUUAAUUAUAUUUAGAAUUUAAUUUUUUAAUUAAAAAGUUAAAAUGAAUUAAAAAGACGAGAAGACCCUAUAGAGUUUUAUAAUUAAAUUAAUUGAGAUUUUUUGUAAGAUUAAAAUUAAAAUUAAUUUAUUUAUUUUGUUGGGGUGACAGAAAAAUAUGGAGAACUUUUUUUAUAAUAUUACAUAAAUAAGUGGUUAAAUGAUCCAAUAUUAUUGAUUAUAAGAAAAAAUUACCUUAGGGAUAACAGCGUAAUUUUUUUUUUUAGUUCAUAUAAAAAAAAAAGUUUGCGACCUCGAUGUUGGAUUAAGAUAAAAUUUAAAUGCAGAAGUU